GUGUGUGUGUGUGUAUUUCCAGGAUUGGAGCAGGAGUCUGGGUUUAUGCUGUGUUGCUAGCAUUUGUCCGUGACCUUCACCUGGGUCAUUUGCCCCUGCAGGUGAUUUGAAUUUUAAAGUGUCAUUGAGUGUGACUGAGGUGAGUCACACAAUAAAGUACCUGGCAGCAACCCAGAGCACAGUGAUUCGUUGUUGUUGUUGUUGUUGUUGUUGUUGUUGUUGUUGUUAGAACUGUGUGUGGGACUCAGGCCCUGGCUUGGAGCCAUUUUCUGGCCUAGACUGUCUGCCCUUCUGUGCCCCUGAGGGGACGUCUGCAGUGCCUUGGAUCUGGGAGGCAUGUUCAGGAGUGCAGCAGGCCUCUCGGUGCACCUGCUGUGACCACUCUGGGGAAGGAAGGCUGGAGCCUCACGCAGCCAGUGCUUGCACCAGUCUGUAAGUGUCCUGCAUGGCACUCACCCAUGUUCACAGCCCUGGAGGGGAGGGUCCUGGGGUCUGGCUUGGUCUUGCCUUUAAAGCUGUGCAUGAGCCCCCUCUUCCAGAGCCUUUCUAGACUACAGCUGGCUUGUCAUCUCCCUCGGCCCUGCUUCUCUCAUCUGGAACUUAGCUCUGCAUGGAUGCUUGUAUAUUGGGUACUGCCUGCCCAUGGUUAGCCCAGUGCCCAGCCCAGCUCAUAGCACAGAGUGGGUGCACAAUACAUCUUGGUUGGCUGAUCGUGCUAUACACAGCUUGAGAAUAUCACUGUUCCCUGAUGUAUCCAUGUAUUGACUGCCUUUAGCAAAGGUACUCUUGAGUACCCCAAAUUUGUGGAAUGACAGUUCUCUCUCCUUCUCAAGGCCAUUCAUUUAUCUCCACUCAUUUCUGUUCUUCUGUAAGUUCAUGCCCUCCUGCCCUGCUCCCUCCCCAGCCCGACCAAGCUCUACACUCCUGCUGUCGGGCCUCAUCCAUCCCAUUAUUCAUUCAUCUCAUUCAUAAUCUCUCCCUCUCCCCCCGCCCCCAAUCCCAGGUGAAUAGCCACCUGGUCCACCUGGCUUCACGCUCUUGGCCACAGGGAGAGGCUCUGCUGCAGUGAGCUGGGGAAAUAAAUGCCCGUGAAGCUGUAGGUUAGAGACAGGCUCAAACUCAGAGAAGAGGCAGUGUGAAGUGCACCCGUUAGAAUCAACCAAAGACCAAAAAAGAGCCAGAAAUACACCAAUCAGGCUGAAGACAUGGCUCAUCAGCGGGAGGUACUUUCCACCAGUCGCAGUGACAUGAGUUUGAUGACGGGACUCACAUAGUGGGGAACUAAGGAUCCACUCAGGCAAGUUGUCCUCUGACCUCCACACACAUGCUGUAACGUGUGUACCCCCAGAAAAUACAUAAGCUAUAGCUUU
rnacentral:lncRNA from 1 species